GCCCCGUUAGCUCAGCUGGUCAGAGCAGGAGACUCAUAAUCUCUCGGUCGCGGGUUCAAGUCCUGCACGGGGCACGA
rnacentral:tRNA from 2 species